rnacentral:rRNA from 1 species
UAGUCUACACUGUAAAUUCUGAGUGCUGUAAUUUAGUUAUUUAAACUGGAUUUUUUAAGCUAACGCUAUAAGCACUCCGCCUGAGGAGUACGAUCGCAAGGUUGGAACUCAAAGGAAUUGACGGGGACCUACUACUAGUGGUGGAGCAUGUGGUUUAAUUCGAUGCAACGCGAAGAACCUUACCUACUCCUGACAUCCUCAGAAUUUUCCAGAGAUGGAUUAGUGCCUUCGGGAACUGAGAGACAGGUGCUGCAUGGCUGUCGUCAGCUCGUGUUGUGAAAUGUUGGGUUAAGUCCCGCAACGAGCGCAACCCUUAUCCUUAUUUGCCAGCACGUAAUGGUGGGAACUUUAGGGAGACUGCCGGUGAUAAACCGGAGGAAGGUGGGGACGACGUCAAGUCAUCAUGGCCCUUACGAGUAGGGCUACACACGUGCUACAAUGGCGAGUACAGAGGGUUGCGAAGCCGCGAGGUGGAGCUAAUCUCAUAAAAGCUCGUCGUAGUCCGGAUUGG